CAAAAACAGAGUAGGUGUGUUCGAAUAGCUAUUUUUUUCUAAAAGUACUUGACGACAGUCUUUUAAUUUGGAUGAUGAAAAUGGAUAUCUUCGGGAAAAAAAUCAUUUUCUUGUGUGUGAUAACUAGGGUUUAUAAUCUUCAACCACUAAAAUUGUUUAGUCUGCCCUUCUAGUGGGGCGGCUUAGUACCGAAAUUUGACAAAAUCAUGCAAAUUGUGAUACAAGCAAGGGAUUUGGCAUAGACGUUCAUUAGGAAGUAUUUUAUCAUAUUAGAGGGGUAGCCAACAUGUUUUCGAUUUUUUUCACGGCGGCCAUCUUGAAUUCAAAACUGACAUCAUUUUGCUCAAUCUUUGAGAUUAAAAACUGUCCUAACCAUUUUCAAC
rnacentral:lncRNA from 1 species